GCUGGUGGUCAUAAGGCGGGUGAGCACCUCUUUCCAUCCCGAACAGAGCCGUUAAGCCCCGCACUGCCGAUGGUACUGGAGUCGUUUCCGGGAGAGUAGGUAGCUGCCACCU
rfam:Fibrisoma limi BTZ 3, type strain:BTZ 3, WGS project CAIT01000000 data, contig: 9